CACAAUAACAUGACUUUUUAAUUCCAGCUCAAUCAAAUGGCAGCCAGAGACUUGAGCUACUACAUCUAGAUACAGUCCAACCAAGCCACCAGCUAUUGCAUGAUAUGGGAAUAUCUAAAGUCGUGGAGCUGCUUUCCAAAGUGCUGGAAGAAAAUAAAUUGAUGAAAGCGGAAAUUACCAACCUGGGGAGUGAAGUGAGGGCGCUUAGGAGAGAGAUGGUGAGGCCGGUAGCACCAGAAGCUGCCGCUUCGUCCAUCAAGCUGCCUCUGAGGACAAUGGAGGAGUUUCAAUUAGCAGAGGCUGUUAUGAGAGAAACCCCCUGCGAAAAACAAAAGAUGCUGCACUCCAAAAACAGCUGCCAGGGACCACCCAUAUUGUUUUUUCAGGGACACUGAAGAAGUGGCUUAAAUAUGCACCGGAGAGAGAGGGAGGUGGAGGGAGGCGAACAAAUGAACGCGAUCAGGUAGGCCUAUGUACGCUUGUUCCACACACCAUGCGUCCUUCGACGGAUGAGCGUCGCG
ensembl:lncRNA